UGUAGGGGCGGCAGGUAGCCUAGUGGUUAGAGUGUAGGGGCGGCAGGUAGCCUAGUGGUUAGAGUGUAGGGACGGCAGGUAGCCUAGUGGUUAGAGUGUAGGGACGGCAGGUAGCCUAGUGGUUAGAGUGUAGGGACGGCAGGUAACCUAGUGGUUAGAGUGUGGGACGGCAGGUAACCUAGUGGUUAGAGUGUAGGGACGGCAGGUAGCCUAGUGGUUAGAGUGUAGGGACGGUAGGUAGCCUAGUGGUUAGAGUGUUGGGGCGGCAGGUAGCCUAGUGGUUAGAGUGUAGGGGCGGCAGGUAGCCUGGUGGUUAGUGUAGGGGCGGCAGGUAGCCUAGUGGUUAGAGUGUAGGGACGGCAGGUAGCCUAGUGGUUAGAGUGUAGGGACGGCAGGUAGACUAGUGGUUAGAGUGUAGGGGCGGCAGGUAACCUAGUGGUUAGAGUGUAGGGGCGGCAGGUAGCCUGGUGGUUAGUGUAGGGGCGGCAGGUAGCCUAGUGGUUAGAGUGUAGGGACGGUAGGUAGCCUAGUGGUUAGAGUGUUGGAGCGGCAGGUAGCCUAGUGGUUAGAGUGUAGGGACGGCAGGUAGCCUAGUGGUUAGAGUGUAGGGACGGCAGGUAACCUAGUGGUUAGAGUGUAGGGACGGCAGGUAGCCUAGUGGUUAGUGUAGGGACGGCAGGUAGCCUAGUGGUUAGAGUGUAGGGACGGCAGGUAGCCUAGUGGUUAGAGUGUAGGGACGGCAGGUAGCCUAGUGGUUUGAGUGUAGGGACGGCAGGUAGACUAGUGGUUAGAAUGUAGGGACGGCAGGUAGCCUAGUGGUUAGAGUGUAGGGGCGGCAGGUAGCCUAGUGGUUAGAGUGUAGGGGCGGCAGGUAGCCUAGUGGUUAGAGUGUAGGGACGGCAGGUAGCCUAGUGGUUAGAGUGUAGGGACGGCAGGUAACCUAGUGGUUAGAGUGUAGGGACGGCAGGUAACCUAGUGGUUAGAGUGUAGGGACGGCAGGUAGCCUAGUGGUUAGAGUGUAGGGACGGUAGGUAGCCUAGUGGUUAGAGUGUAGGGACGGCAGGUAGCCUAGUGGUUAGAGUGUAGGGACGGCAGGUAGCCUAGUGGUUAGAGUGUAGGGACGGCAGGUAGCCUAGUGGUUAGAGUGUAGGGACGGCAGGUAGCCUAGUGGUUAGAGUGUAGGGACGGCAGGUAGCCUAGUGGUUAGAGUGUAGGGACGGCAGGUAGCCUAGUGGUUAGAGUGUAGGGACGGUAGGUAGCCUAGUGGUUAGAGUGUAGGGGCGGCAGGUAGACUAGUGGUUAGAGUGUAGGGACGGCAGGUAGCCUAGUGGUUAGAGUGUAGGGACGGCAGGUAGCCUAGUGGUUAGAGUGUAGGGACGGCAGGUAGACUAGUGGUUAGAGUGUAGGGACGGCAGGUAACCUAGUGGUUAGAGUGUAGGGGCGGCAGGUAGCCUGGUGGUUAGAGUGUAGGGGCGGCAGGUAGCCUAGUGGUUAGAGUGUAGGGACGGCAGGUAGCCUAGUGGUUAAGAGUGUAGGGACGGCAGGUAACCUAGUGGUUAGAGUGUAGGGGCGGCAGGUAGCCUGGUGGUUAGAGUGUAGGGGCGGCAGGUAACCUAG